rnacentral:piRNA from 3 species
UAGCUUCUCUGCCUUGCAUCUGACUGACUGA